rnacentral:rRNA from 1 species
AUCGAACGCUGGCGGCAGGCUUAACACAUGCAAGUCGAACGGGAUCUUCGGAUCUAGUGGCAGACGGGUGAGGAACACGUGGGAACAUCCCUUUCAGUUCGGAAUAACGUUGGGAAACUAACGCUAAUACCGGAUACGUCCUUCGGGAGAAAGAUUUAUCGCUGAAAGAUUGGCCCGCGUCUGAUUAGCUAGUUGGUGAGGUAAUGGCUCACCAAGGCUACGAUCAGUAGCUGAUCUGAGAGGAUGAUCAGCCACAUUGGGACUGAGACACGGCCCAAACUCCUACGGGAGGCAGCAGUGGGGAAUAUUGGACAAUGGGCGCAAGCCUGAUCCAGCCAUGCCGCGUGAGUGAUGACGGCCUUCGGGUUGUAAAGCUCUUUUGUCCGGGAAGAUAAUGACUGUACCGGAAGAAUAAGCCCCGGCAAACUUCGUGCCAGCCGCCGCGGUAA